UUUUUAUUACUCAAAUGAAUUUAUCACAUCUGUAGUUGUAUAAUGAUCAUAAUAAUCUGAUUUCACAGGAUUUCUAUCCCAUAGCCCAAGCACAUCCCCUCACCACCCAAACUGUCUCCUCCAGAGACCAUAAGUGUUUCAAUGUCUGUGAGUCAGCAUCUGUUCUGCAAAGAAGUUCAGUCUAUCCUUUUUUCAGAUUCUACAUGUCAGUGAAAGCAUUUGAUGUUGGUGUCUCAUUAUAUGGCUGAGUUCACUUAGCAUGAUAGUUCCUAGGUCCAUGCAUGUUGCUAAAAAUGCUGGUAUUUCAUUAUUUUUAAUGGUUGAGUAAUAUUCCAUUGUGCAUAUGUACCACACCUUCUGGAUCCACUCCUCAGUCGAUGGACAUUUAAGUUGUUUCCAUGUUUUGGCUAUUGCAAAUGGUGCUGCAAUAAACAUUGGAGUACAUAUAUCUUUGCGAGUUGUGGUUUUCUCUGGAUAGAUGCCCAGGAGUGGGAUUGCUGGAUCAAAUGGUAGUUCUACUUUGAACUUUCUGAGGAAUCUCCAUACUGCUUUCCACAGUGGUUGCACCAAUUUACAAUCCCACCAACAGUGUACGAGGGUUCCUUUUUCUCCACACUCUCUCCAGCACUUAUUGUUUGUAGACUUUUUGAUGAUGGCCAUUCUGGCUGGUUUAAGGUGGUACUCCAUCAUGGUUUGGAUUUGCAUUUCUCUAAUAAUGAGUGAUGUUGAACAUCUUUUCAUGUGUGUCUUGGCCAUCUGUAUGUCUUCUUUGGAGAAUUGUCUGUUUAGAUCUUCUGCCCAUUUUUUGAUGGGGUUGUUUGCUUUUUUGGUAUGGAGCUACAGAAAGUGUUUAUAACUUUUGGAGAUUAAUCCCUUGUCAGUUGAUUCACUUGCAAAGAUUUUCUCCCAUUCUGAGGGUUGUCUUUUCAUGUUGUUUAAGGUUUCCUUUGCUGUGCAGAAACUUUGAAGUUUGAUUAGGUCCCAUUUGUUUAUUUUCAUUUUUAUUGUCAAUCCUCUAAGAGGUGGAUCUGAGAAGAUGUUGCUGUGGUUUAUGUAAGAGAGUGUUUGGCCUAUGUUUUCCUCUAAGAGUUUUGUAGUAUUUGGUCUAAUGUCUUGGUCUUUAAUCCAUUUUGAGUUUAUUUUUGUGUAUGGUGUUAGGGAGUGUUCUAAUUUCAUUCUUUUCCAUGUGGCUGUCCAGUUUUCCCAGCACCACUUAUUGAACAGGCUGUCCUUUCUCCAUUGUAUAUCCUUGCCUCCUUUGUCAUAGACUAGUUGGCUAUAGGUGCGUGGGUUUAAUUCUGGGCUUUCUAUCCUGUUCCACUGAUCUAUAUUGCUGUCUUUGUGCCAGUACCAUGUGGUUUUGAUGAUUGUUGCUUUGUAGUAAAGUCUGAAGUCUGGGAGACUGAUUCCUCCAGCUCCGUUUUUCUUUUUCAUGAUGUCUUUGGCUAUUCUGGGUCUUUUGUGCUUCCAAACAAACUUUAAAAUAUUUUGUUCGAGUUCUGUGAAAAAUGUCCUUGGUAAUUUGAUAGGGAUUGCAUUGAAUCUGUAGAUUGCCUUAGGUAUAUAGUCAUUUUGAUAAUAUUAACUCUUCCAAUCCAUGAGCAUGGUAUAUCUUUCCAUCUAUUUGUGUCAUCUUUGAUUUCUUUCAUCAGUGGCCUGUAGUUUUCAGAGUAUAGGUCUUUUGUUUCUUUAGGAAGGUUUACUCCUAGGGAUUUUAUUCUUUUGGAUGCAAUGGUAAAUGGGAUUGCUUCCCUAAUUUCCUUUUCUGCUUUUUCAUUGUUAGUAUAUAGAAACGCUAUUGAUUUCUGUGUAUUGAUUUUGUAUCCUGCAACUUUGCCAAAUUCAUGGAUAAGCUCUAACAGUUUUCUGGUAGAGUCUUUAGGAUUCUCUAGGUAUAUUAUCAUGUUAUUUGCAAAUAGCGAUAGUUUUUCUUCUUCCUUUCCAAUUUGGAUUCCUUUUAUUUCUUUUUCUUCUCUGAUUGCUGUGGCUAGGACUUUCAAACCUAUGUUGAAGAAUAGUGGCAAGAGCAGACAUCCUUGUCUUGUUCCUGAUCUCAGGGGGAAUUCUUUCAGCUUUUCACCUUUGAGAAUGAUGUUCACUGUGGGUUUGUCAUAUAUGAGCUUUAUCAUGUUGAGGUAGGUUCCCGCUAUGCCCACUUUCUGAAGGGUUUUUAUCUGAAAUGGGUGUUGGAUGUUGUCAAAGGCUUUUUCCGCGUCUAUUGAGAGGAUCAUAUGGUUUUUAUUCUUCAGUUUGUUAAUGUGGUGUAUCACACUGAUGGGUUUGUGGAUAUUGAAGAAUCCCUGCAUCCCUGGGAUAAAUCCCACUUGAUCAUGAUGUAUAAUCCUUUUAAUGUAUUGUUGGAUGUGGUUUGCUAGUAUUUUUUGAGGAUUUUUGCAUCAAUGUUCAUCAGUGAAAUUGGCCUGUAGUUUUCUUUUUUUGUGGUAUCUUUGUCUGGUUUGGUACCAGGGUGACGGUGGCCUCCUAGAAUGAGUUUAGGAGUAUCCCUUCCUCUACAAUUUUUUGAAAUAGUUUCAGAAGGAGAGGUGUUAGCUCUUCUCUAAAUGUUUGAUAGAAUUCGCCUGUGAAGCCAAAUGGUCCUGGACUUUUGUUUGUUGGAAGUUUUUUAAUCACAGUUUCAAUUUCAGUUCUUGUGAUGGGUCCAUUCAUCUCUUCUAUUUCAUCUUGGUUUAGUCUUGGAAGAUUGUACUUUUCUAAGAAUUUGUCCAUUUCUUCUAGGUUUUCCAUUUUAUUGGCAUAUAGUGGCAUAUAGUAGUCUCUUACAAUCCUUUGUAUUUCCGUGAUGUCCAUUGUUACUUCUUCUUUUUUAUUUCUGAUUUUAUUGAUUUGAGUCCUCUCUCUUUUUUUCUUGAUAAGUUUGGCUAGGAGUUUAUCAAUUUUGUUGAUCUUUUCCAAGAUCCAGCUUUUCGUUUCAUUGAUCUUUUCUAUGGUUUUCUUUGUUUCUAUUUCAUUGAUUUCUGCUCUGAUCUUUAUGAUUUCUUUCCUUCUACUAACUUUAGGUCUUGUCUGUUCUUCUCUCUCAAGCUGCUUUAGAUGUAAAGUUAGCUUAUUUAUUUGGGCUUUUUCUUGUUUCCUGAGGUGGGCUUGUAGUGCUAUAAACUUUCCUCUUAGAGCAGUUUUUGCUGCAUCCCAUAGGUUUUGGAGUGUCGUAUCUUUGUUGUCAUUUGCUGCUAGGUAUUUUUUAAUUUCCUCUUUGAUUUCUUCAGUGAUCCAUUGGUUGUUUAGUAGCAUGUUGUUGAGUCUCCAUGUGGUUGUGUGUUUUGCAGUUUUUUUCUUGUUGAUUUCCAGUCGUAUAGCAUUGUGGUCAGAAAAGAUGCUUGAUAUGAUUUCAAUUUUCUUAAUGUUACCAAGGUUGGAUUUGUAGCCCAGGAUAUGAACAAUCUUAGAGAAUGAUCCAUCUGCACUUGAAGAAUGUGCAUUCUGUUGCUUUUGGCUGAAAUGUCCUAUAAACACCUACCAAGUCCAUCUGGUUUGAUGCAUCAUUCAGGGCCUGUGUUUCCUUAUAGAUUUUCUGUCUGGUUGAUCUGUCCA
rnacentral:lncRNA from 1 species